rnacentral:lncRNA from 10 species
CAGGCGUGUUGGGCUCCCUGGCUCAGCUGCUGCCGGUAGACGCUCCCUGGAGCCCUGGCUCAGGUCCUUCCCAGAGAGGCAGGGCUGGGGCUCUGCUGAGCCUCCGCUGUACCCGGGCCCCCGAGGUCCUGCUCCUGGCUCGCGUGGCCACUCUUGACAUGGACUCUGGGUCCCGCAUCCCUGCUCCCAGCACAGCAGGGCUCAGGCAGCAGGAGGAGUGGUGGUCCAGGCACUGCCUAUCAGGCAGGGCGAGUGUCAGCGGGGAAGCGCCACACGGGAUGAGAACAGAGGCUCCGGUAGCCGGGCGGGGGGACGGCUGGGCGUGGUGGGGCAGGCAGGCCGUGACCCGGGCUGUUCCGCAUCCUCCCGGUGCUUCCUGUGCUCACAAGCUGCCGCUUUAGAUUCUCCCGGAAAGUCUCCCUGAGGGGGCUGUGGAACCCCCGUUCCCCUAGCGGAAGCUCGACCAGCAGCCCCAGUGUCCUCAUCCCCACUCCGCAGAUUCAUGCUGCUCCUGGCCAGCCGCCACCCUGAGCAGUUGGACUGGGACGUCUAUGACCGCAUCGACAUGAUGUUUCACUUCCACCUGCCCGGGCGGGAGGAGCGGGAGCGCCUGCUGAGAUUGUAUCUCUACAAGUACAUUCUUAUGCCGGACAUAAAAGGAAAGCAGCGCCUGAAGCUGGCCCAGUUUGACUAUGGGAGGAAGUGCGAGGAGAUCGCUCGGCUGACGGAGCGCAUGUCGGGCCGGGAGAUCGAACAGCUGGCUCUGUAUUGUCAGGCCACGGCAUAUGCCUCCAAGGGUGCGGUCCUCACCGAGGCCAAGUUGGAUGCCUGUGUGCGAGACUUUGUCGAGCAGCACCAGCAGAAAA